rnacentral:rRNA from 1 species
CAAUAGCGUAUAUUAAAGUUGUUGCAGUUAAAAAGCUCGUAGUUGAAUUUCUGUCAGGAGUGACCGGGCCUUUGGAUGAACUUCCAUUGUUUUUUGCUCUGUUUGUCAUCUCUAGACAUCCUGAAAUAUUUUUUAAAAAUAUCUCUCUUUUACUGUUAGCAAAAUAGAGUGUUCCAAGCAAAGCGUAGUUUUGAAUACAUUAGAAUGGAAUAAUAAGAUAGGACUUUGGUGCUAUUUUGUUGGUUUGCACACCAAGGUAAUGAUUAAUAGGGACAGUUGGGGGUAUUCGUAUUUAAUUGUCAGAGGUGAAAUUCUUGGAUUUAUGAAAGACGAACUACUGCGAAAGCAUUUACCAAGGAUGUUUUCAUUAA